UACGUAGGGAGCGAGCGUUGUCCGGAAUUACUGGGCGUAAAGGGUGCGUAGGCGGCGAUGCAAGUCAGAUGUGAAAUCCCCGGGCUUAACUCGGGGGGUGCAUUUGAAACUGCAUUGCUUGAGUGCAGGAGAGGAAAGCGGAAUUCCUAGUGUAGCGGUGAAAUGCGUAGAUAUUAGGAAGAACGCCAGUGGCGAAGGCGGCUUUCUGGACUGUAACUGACGCUGAGGCACGAAAGCGUGGGGAGCAAAC
rnacentral:rRNA from 1 species